rnacentral:rRNA from 1 species
GGAUGACGUCAAGUCAUCAUGCCCCUUAUGUCCAGGGCUUCACGCAUGCUACAAUGGCUGGUACAGAGAGUGGCGGGCCUGUGAGGGUGAGCGAAUCUCGGAAAGACCGGUCUCAGUUCGGAUUGGGGUCGUGCAACUCGACCUCAUGAAGUCGGAGUCGCUAGUAAUCGCAGAUCAGCAACGCUGCGGUGAAUACGUUCCCGGGGCUUGUACACACCGCCGUCACGGUCACUACAUGGACCCGUAUCGUCCAAGGGUCCUUCACGACUAGUUGGACUACAUGGCUGGUAACAGUAAGAGUUAGGCGACGUCCUGUGACGGUGAGACGAAUCUCGGAAGCCGUCGUAGAAGUUCGGAAUUGGGUCUGCUACGUCGGACCUCAUGGAACGGUCCGAUCGACUACGUAACGUCGAACACGUACUUCGGAAGUACAACGGUCUGUCCGGUACCAACGUACGGUUCCCGGAUUACGUACGACGGUCGGUACGCGCCGUCUACUAAGGUCGUACGCGUCGACUCGUAACGUUCCGAGUACGUAAGUCGGUUACGAACGUUCGGACGUUCGUACCGG